rnacentral:rRNA from 1 species
GACGAACGCUGGCGGCGUGCUUAACACAUGCAAGUCGAACGAAGAGCGCCGGUAGCUUGCUUCUAUCAAUCUAAGUGGCGAACGGGUGAGUAACGCGCAAUCAACCUGCCCUUCAGAGGGGGACAACAGUUGGAAACGACUGCUAAUACCGCCUACGCUCCAAUCUCGGCAUCGAGGAUGGAUGAAAGGUGGCCUCUACAUGUCAGCUAUCACUGAAGGAGGGGAGUGCGUCUGAUUAGCUAGUUGGAGGGGUAAGGACCCAUCAAGGCGAUGAUCAGUAGCCGGUCGGAUUGGAUGGACGGCGACAUUGGGGCGGGGACACGGCCCAGAGUACUACGGGAGGCAGCAGUGGGCAACCUUACGCAAUGGAGGGGAGUCUGGCGGAGCAACGCCGCGUGAGUGAUGACGGCCUUCGGGUUGUAAAGCUCUGUUUAUCGGGACGAAAGGCCUUCAGGCGAAGAGUGAGAUGUAUUGACGGUACCGGAAGAGAAAGCAACGGCUAACUACGUG